rnacentral:rRNA from 1 species
UAGAGUUUGAUCAUGGCUCAGGACGAACGCUGGCGGCGUGCUUAACACAUGCAAGUCGAACGAUGAAGCCCUUCGGGGUGGAUUAGUGGCGAACGGGUGAGUAACACGUGGGCAAUCUGCCCUUCACUCUGGGACAAGCCCUGGAAACGGGGUCUAAUACCGGAUACGACCUGCCGAGGCAUCUCGGCGGGUGGAAAGCUCCGGCGGUGAAGGAUGAGCCCGCGGCCUAUCAGCUUGUUGGUGGGGUAAUGGCCUACCAAGGCGACGACGGGUAGCCGGCCUGAGAGGGCGACCGGCCACACUGGGACUGAGACACGGCCCAGACUCCUACGGGAGGCAGCAGUGGGGAAUAUUGCACAAUGGGCGCAAGCCUGAUGCAGCGACGCCGCGUGAGGGAUGACGGCCUUCGGGUUGUAAACCUCUUUCAGCAGGGAAGAAGCGCAAGUGACGGUACCUGCAGAAGAAGCGCCGGCUAACUACGUGCCAGCAGCCGCGGUAAUACGUAGGGCGCAAGCGUUGUCCGGAAUUAUUGGGCGUAAAGAGCUCGUAGGCGGCUUGUCACGUCGGGUGUGAAAGCCCGGGGCUUAACCCCGGGUCUGCAUCCGAUACGGGCAGGCUAGAGUGUGGUAGGGGAGAUCGGAAUUCCUGGUGUAGCGGUGAAAUGCGCAGAUAUCAGGAGGAACACCGGUGGCGAAGGCGGAUCUCUGGGCCAUUACUGACGCUGAGGAGCGAAAGCGUGGGGAGCGAACAGGAUUAGAUACCCUGGUAGUCCACGCCGUAAACGUUGGGAACUAGGUGUUGGCGACAUUCCACGUCGUCGGUGCCGCAGCUAACGCAUUAAGUU